AUAGGGCCUGCAGCCUUGCACUAACAUUUCUGAGCCCUGCAGUCCAGGCCAGGCUUUCCGCUCUCCCUGCUGGAGGCCCGCCAUCCUUAUUGAGUGUAUUUCCAAGAAAGCAGUUGACAGGCUUGGCAGUGCUAUUCCUGGAAAUGUUCAAUAGGCCAUCUUCUGGCAGGGCCGCCGCUGACGGAUGGGUUGGUCGGGGAGACCACGUGCUCAGCGCCCUCUCCACCCCCGCCUAUUCCCAGGUGCCUCCAAGCAGCAGCCGUCCCCAAAUACCUCGGGCUGUUAGCUGGCGGGGGCUGUGGGCCUCUGUGGAACUUGCUUCCUCCCCGGCAGGGCGGCUGCCAGCGGGCUUGCUGCUAAAUGAAGACAGGCGCCCUGUGACUAUAAAUUAUAACACACAUCAGCUCCAGCCGAUGCACCGCAUGUCCUGCAGAAGACUCCGCAGGGGACGCCUGGCCACUGCCAAAGGGCAUUCUGGACAGUGGCUCCUAUGGCAGCCGCAGGACAGAGGCCAAGCCUGCCGCUGGGCAGAGGAGCUCUGGCAGCUCCCAGAGGUUGGAGUUUCCUUCGGAUGCGGACCACGGCUUCUCUGCACUAUUGCCUUUGGCACCAGGUCCCCUGUAUUUUGCUGUGACCUUCCAUACCCUCCACUCAUCAGUGGCCCUGGUGUUGAAAUCUUCUUCUACUGACAGUACCUGAAAAAAAUCUGUUACUAAAAGUGUAUCCAUGCCUGAUGUCAAGAGGUAGAUAAUUCAAAGUGGGUUAAGAUUCUUCCUGGCACCUCCACUGCAGAAAGUGCGAAGACCUUCAUUCAAGCCUUAACUCUACCAUUUACAAGCUUAUGUCCUUGGACCACCUACCAAACCUCUCUGAACUUCACCUUUCUCCUCUGCAAAGCAAGAAUGACUCCAACCUCACAUCUCACUCUCUGCCUUGGGCAUGGGAGGCCCUGCAUAAAUGUUGAUACCCUUCCCAAAUAGUUCUGCUAUUAAUUAUACCCAGGAUCACACAAGAGUCUCUAUGGAAUCUCAGCAGAUUGAAACGAUUUUCUAGGAUAAUGACUCUCCACUGUUAGUAGGAACAGUUGCCAGCCAGUCUCAAUGCCUACACUCACUCAAGCAGCUAAAACUUCUAAGACUCCUCUCCAAUAAUAGGACUGUUCGCUUCCUCCCCUGCAAAGCAGUAUGCACCACACUUUGCUCGUUCUCAUGGCUUUCGGGAGGGGAAAACCUCAUCCCACAUAGAAAACCGAGUCACUGGCCUCUCGGGACUCUGGGUCCAGAGUUCAGCUGGAGGAACCAUCCAUGGAAAUGACAUCAUAUGGAGAGGCAGGAGUGCAAUGUGCAAAGUGAGGAGUCCAAAAACUUUAGAGGAAGCAAAAUGUAAGAAGCCGGGGGCGUGACUAUCCUAGCUUGGCAGUCGGACACUGUAUAGAUCUUCCCAAACUGAUUCCUUACCUUUUGCCCAGUACCUGCACUCCAUGGAGAUGUUUCACAGCUGGUACCUCCUUUUAUCUUUUCAAUCAUCCUGAGAAGUUGGCAAAUACUAUUAUGCCAGUUUUUUUUCAGAAGAAGAAACUGAGGAGAGAGUGCCCAGAUCACACGAACUAACACAGAAUGGAGCUCGGGCUUAACGUGGGGCUUCUGAUUCUAACACCUUUCUGCCACAUUCCCUGCCUCUCGUAUAGCUGGGGAAGAGGAAGACUCAAACAAUCUCCAGGGGAACAUAAGCUCAGUGUCACAGGGGGAAAGCACCGGACUGGAGUGCAUAUACGAGACCGGGCCUCUUUUCCCAGCCGUUAACUCUUGAGAUGUCCGUCUCCUUACCUCUGCAGGGAGCAGGCAGCAAUAAACGAUUCCAAGUUCCCUCUCGUGUUUCUGUUUCUUAAAUGUGUAUCUUUAGUUAUUUUAAUGUGUAACUCAGCUGCUGCUGCUACGUCGCUUCAGUCG